rnacentral:rRNA from 1 species
GAUGAACGCUGGCGGCGUGCCUAAUACAUGCAAGUCGAGCGAAUGGAUUAAGAGCUUGCUCUUAUGAAGUUAGCGGCGGACGGGUGAGUAACACGUGGGUAACCUGCCCAUAAGACUGGGAUAACUCCGGGAAACCGGGGCUAAUACCGGAUAACAUUUUGAACCGCAUGGUUCGAAAUUGAAAGGCGGCUUCGGCUGUCACUUAUGGCUGGACCCGCGUCGCAUUAGCUAGGUGGUGAGGUAACGGCACACCAAGGCAACGAUGCGUAGCCGACCUGAGAGGGUGAUCGGCCACACUGGGACUGAGACACGGCCCAGACUCCUACGGGAGGCAGCAGUAGGGAAUCUUCCGCAAUGGACGAAAGUCUGACGGAGCAACGCCGCGUGAGUGAUGAAGGCUUUCGGGUCGUAAAACUCUGUUGUUAGGGAAGAACAAGUGCUAGUUGAAUAAGCUGGCACCUUGACGGUACCUAACCAGAAAGCCACGGCUAACUACGUGCCAGCCGCCGCCGUAA